rnacentral:lncRNA from 1 species
AAGAUUUUCUUUUUCUUUUUUUUUAUUCCAGAAAGAAAUGUUUGUUAUCUAGUGCUGAUUUGUUACUUAUGAUUGGGUUACUUAUGAUUGGGUUCUGUCCACAUAUUUGUUAUUACAUCCAAAAGCCUUGUAGUAAUUCAAUGACAUGUUUUUAGUUCUGAUCAUGGCAUUUUUGGCUCACUGUCUAAAUUUUGAUUCACUGUUAUUUGCGGUAUU